UUAAAAGAGAAACCCUCCCCAGGGAGGAAAAGAGGGAAGCCACCUGUAGCCCAUCCCUACUGAUGGUUCUUUUGAGCAGCCUGAGAAAGCUGUGCCUGCAGGAUUACAGAGCAGAGCCAGGAGGAGCUUGGAAGAGGGAGUGUUUGUGCUUUUGUAAGGAAUCGUGAAAUGAAGUAGCAUCCUGUUCAGCAGCUCUCCUUUAUGAAUUUGAGGAACAUACUGAGCACCUAAAGAAUCCAAGGCUAGCUUGUAUAGACUAAACAACAAACAAAUGGGAGCUGGAGACUGUGCCUUCCUACCCACCCAACAUGACCACCCAACAUGGCCAGUGACAGAUGUACAGUGGUUUGAGCACACGAGGGUCACAGCAAUGGGAAUCUGGACACCUCAUCACUGCUUCAGUUCACAGCUGCUCAAAGAAGGAAGGAGGCAUCCAGGAGAAGACACAAUGAAGCAUGCCUGGAGAGACAGACAAGAAAUUGCGAUAGAAGAACCAGAUAUUUCCACUCCUACUUGCUGCUUCCUAGCUAUCCUCCAACACCACAUCUUGCAAGGAGGGUGCUGCUCCGUGUGAACUGAGGCUGUGUCUACACUAACUGGUGGAACUGAAGAUGAAAAUGAACUAAUGAUGACAGUCAACUUAGG
rnacentral:lncRNA from 1 species